rnacentral:tRNA from 5 species
GACCCCGUCGUCUAGUCUGGCCAAGGACGCGACCCUUUCAAGGUCGAGAUCGCGGGUUCGAAUCCCGCCGGGGUCACCA